AGUGAACGCUGGCGGUAGGCCUAACACAUGCAAGUCGAACGGCAGCACAGUAAGAGCUUGCUCUUACGGGUGGCGAGUGGCGGACGGGUGAGGAAUACAUCGGAAUCUACUUUUUCGUGGGGGAUAACGUAGGGAAACUUACGCUAAUACCGCAUACGACCUACGGGUGAAAGCAGGGGAUCUUCGGACCUUGCGCGAUUGAAUGAGCCGAUGUCGGAUUAGCUAGUUGGCGGGGUAAAGGCCCACCAAGGCGACGAUCCGUAGCUGGUCUGAGAGGAUGAUCCCCCCCCCUGGACCAGACACCCGGUCCACCCCCCUCCGGGGGGCAGCUUUGGGGAAUUUUGGACAAUGGGCGCACCCCUUCUCCCCCCUUCCCGCGUGGGUGAAGAAGCCCUUCGGUUUGUAAAGCCUUUUUUUUGGGAAAGAAAACCCGCAGGUUAAUCCCCCCCUUUUCUGCCGGUCCCCAAAAAAUACCAACCGGCUACCUUCG
rnacentral:rRNA from 1 species